rnacentral:rRNA from 1 species
UACGGGGGGGGCAGGCGUUGUUCGGAAUUACUGGGCGUAAAGGGCUCGUAGGUUGCCAACUAAGUCAGACGUGAAAUCCCUCGGCUUAACCGGGGAACUGCGUCUGAUACUGGAUGGCUUGAGUUCGGGAGAGGGAUGCGGAAUUCCAGGUGUAGCGGUGAAAUGCGUAGAUAUCUGGAGGAACACCGGUGGCGAAGGCGGCAUCCUGGACCGACACUGACACUGAGGAGCGAAAGCCAGGGGAGCAAACGGG